CGGCGCCUAGUUGUGCACUACGUGUCCCAUCAAUAUCGCUCGAUUUAUACAGCUAUAUCUUCUAAAACUGCGCAUUUUAGGAUUUACUGGACUUUUCAGAUAUAGUUUUGGAAAUGGCACAUUUUUAAAGAGGGUUAAUGAGAGCAGAGACGUAGUUAUCUUAACUAGGUGGUUAGUUAGCUAACUAGUGGCAGCUAGCCUAGCCACAUGGUGUACAUGUCCAGAACUGUCAUGCGACGGGGUUGUUGGGUGGAUAGGUUGCGAUUCUUACGGGCAUGGAUUACACAUUUCCACUAGGUUUUUCCCGGUUUAUUUAAACUCUGGGCCUCCCAGUUCACGGUUCAGACAUAACGUCGCAGGCUGGGGUUCGUUUGGUCAAGUGUUGGAAGAAAACCUAGCUCUACAUGAGAGAGGUGAAAUGAAUUCCAUUGACGUGGCAGAUGGAGCACUUCAUGGGAACACCAUUAACGUGGCAGAUGGAGCACUUCAUGGGAACACCAUUAACGUGGCAGAUGGAGCACUUCAUGGGAACACUGAAGUACACAAAGUAGUUUGCAGAAGUUCCGUCAGGAGGACAGAUGGUGUGACCCCCAGGUUGAUGGUGUAUGCUGACCGGACAGGUGUGGCGCUCACUAAUAUCAGGACCAAAGACUUGUAGCCACACACAGUUUCACAUCGGCCAAAUCUCUGACUGUUAAGAGUGGAGAGAGUCAUGUGACCUGAGAGACGUCCACACCUUCCACCACACGGGUGGAGACAAACAGAAGAAGGCUCACCGUUGUAUCGACCUAUCAGGCAGCUUCACCUCUCCUGUCAGCUACCAAUCAGACCUGGACAGCGCCUCCCUCUCCGGUUGGUCGUCGGCAGCCAGUCAGAACGCGUGACCACAAGCUGCUACGUCACCAAGUGGAAUGUGUUGUCUGACCCGGGGACACCGAGGGCUACUACACCACAGAAACAGAACAGUAACUUACAGCCUACCUCAGUAGUUCACAGCCCAUUACACCACUGGGGAAUUGUGGUAGUUGUCCGUCCCAGCCCACCAAAACAUCAUAGGGAACUGAGGAGUUCACAGCCCACUACCCCCCCCAUACACAGUACAGGAGUUCCCAGUCCCUUUUUACACCCCAGUAGUUCACAGCUAACUACACCUAACAAUCAGCCCAGUAGUUACCUCUCCCAGCCCACUACACCUCACAAGCGGUGCACUACUUCUGAACCCUACACCGUUAGUUUAUCGCCCUGGACAACAGUAGGUUCUGACUCUACCUCAGCGGCCAUUUUGAGAAGACAUUUACAUUUUUCCAUUUUAGUCAUUUAGCAGACGCUCUUAUCCAGAGCGACUUACAGGCGCA